UAAAAGUCGUAACAAGGUUUCCGUAGGUGAACCUGCGGAAGGAUCAUUAAAAAAUUGGACUCCAUUGGUGAGUUCAUUAAUAAUCCCUACCCUUUGUGAAUUUGUUUGUUUGAAUAAUUUUUUUUCCAAAAAAAUUAUUGAAUGUCUUUCCUUGUUUUGGUGGAGCUUGUAAAGUGAAACCAGGCAGGGGAAUGGCAAACAAUAAUUAUUUUUGAAAAAGACCUUUUUUUAAAAUUAAACUUUUUGUAUUCAUUUGUCUAAAAUUAAUUUUUAUAAUAUAAAAACAACUUUUGACAAUGGAUCUCUUGGUUCUCGCAACGAUGAAGAACGCAGCAAAAUGCGAUAAGUAGUGUGAAUUGCAGAAUACGUGAAUCAUCGAAUCUUCGAACGCAUAUUGCACUUUUUUAGUUUACUAAAAAAGUAUGUCUGUUUGAGUAUCAGUAAAAUAUUCUCAUAAAAAACAUUGUUUUUUUUAUGGUUAUGAGUGUUUUACAACGAUAACAAGUUGUUUCACUUUAAAUUCUUUGUUAUCAAAAAAAUCAUUAAAAGCUAAUUUUAAAGAUUUUUUAAAAUUGGAUAAAAUUUUCCCGUAAAAAGGAAUAACCUAAACAAUUUUAAAAAAUUAAAAUUGGUUUGAUUUUUUUUGAAACCCAAAGGAAAAAAAAACGAAAUUAACUUGAUCUCAAAUCAGAUAAGAGUACCCGCUGAACUUGAGCAUAUCAAUAAGCGGAGGAAAAGAAACUAACUAGGAUUCCCUCAGUAACGGCGAGUGAAGCGGGAAGAGCUCAAAUUUGAAAUCUUCAAGGUUUUACCUUGACGAAUUGUAGUUUAAAGAAGUGUUUUCUGUUGGAGUUUUGGUAAAAGUUCUUUGGAAAAGGACAUCAUAGAGGGUGAGAAUCCCGUAUUUGACCAUUAUCUCCAGCUUUGUGAUACACUUUCAAAGAGUCGGAUUGUUUGGGAAUGCAGUCCAAAAUGGGUGGUAAAUUUCAUCUAAAGCUAAAUACUGGCGAGAGACCGAUAGCGAACAAGUACCGUGAGGGAAAGAUGAAAAGAACUUUGAAAAGAGAGUUAAACAGUACGUGAAAUUGUCAAAAGGGAAGCGUUUGACACCAGUGUUGUUUUCUCGAAAAUCAAUUAAAAAAGGCCGGAUUUUGUGUUGUAUUGACUUUAUCAGCUUUCUGCACUCUUUUCUUGUCUUUUUUAAUGCGCUUUUCGUUUAACAAGUCAACAUCAAUUUCUUUUGUUGUAAAAGGGUCAUUGGAAGGUGGCUUUCUUUCGGAGAAAGUGUUUAUAGCCUUUGGCCUCUGCAAUCGGAGAGAUUGAGGUCUGCAGCGUAGAUCCUUCGGGGUUAGAUACAUUUGUGCUAAGUUAUAGCCUUUCAUAGACAACUUGUUGACUAUGAUCAGUCCUGUAGCUUACUCGCUUAUGCUAUUUUACCUACGCUUAGGAUGUUGAG
rnacentral:misc_RNA from 1 species